UGGCCUACGGGAGGCAGCAGUGAGGAAUAUUGGUCAAUGGCCGUAAGGCUGAACCAGCCAAGUAGCGUGAGGGAAGACUGCCCUAUGGGUUGUAAACCUCUUUUAUGCGGGGAUAAAGGUGUCCACGUGUGGAUGUUUGCAGGUACCGCAUGAAUAAGGACCGGCUAAUUCCGUGCCAGCAGCCGCGGUAAUACGGAGGAUGCGAGCGUUAUCCGGAUUUAUUGGGUUUAAAGGGUGCGUAGGCGGUCCGUUAAGUCAGCGGUAAAAUUGCGGGGCUCAACCCCGUCGAGCCGUUGAAACUGUCA
rnacentral:rRNA from 1 species